CCUGCAGGAGAAGAUUCCUGGAGACCCCGAUCGUUGCUGGAGACUGCUGUAUCCUGGGUGUUUGAAAGAAAACAUUGUGAUGCGUUAUCAAAUUAACAGUUCGCUGGCUGAGAUCCUAUUGUUUUUAGAGCUGAAGUAGUUAAUGUAACCAGCCCUUUAGCUUGAAGAAACCAUCCGCAAUGACGAAAUGAAUGCUUGGACAGAAGCCAAAGGAAAAUAUAAUCUAUAUAUUCUACAAAUGUUCAGCUCGGAGCCAAGAGAAGAAAGCGAGACAUCCGAGCGCAUGACUAGAGCUCCUGAUAAAAUUGAUUGGCUGUGAUUGCAUUACCAGAGGCUGUGCGCGAACAUCAUGCAAAGGGUUAUUUGAGGAUAGGAGCCAGCCAGAGAGGUGGGUUAGGGAGUUACAACUUCUGCUCUGGUUUCUUUAUGACUCUGCGGCAGUGGGUUCCAUUCCUAGCUAAGUCUUUCUUGGCUCAGUUCCCUUGGAAUGAAUGCACUGGUGUUUAUAGGCAAAGUGCAGUGGUGAUUUAUAGGAAGCCUUUGUGAUGUUUUCUCCGAUAAGCUUUUAGGUAAAUGCAGAGAUCUUAAUAUGUCUUUAAAAACAGCAAUUGUCACUUUCUAAAUGAUCUUUAUUUUUCUUUACAAAACAGCUGUUAUUAUGAAUGAAGGAAUCAACUUUGCAGGACUGAGCAGAACGGAUUCCUACAUCUAUAAGAUCUCCUCUAGAGCAGUGAUGUUUUGGGGCUGUCGCUGGGCAACACGGACUUUCAACUCCCUCCAAAGGUUUUCUAUGGGGUUGAGAUCUGGAGGCUGGCUAGGCCACUCUAGGACCUUGAAAUGUUUCUUACGAAGCCACUCCUUCGUUGCCCGGCGGUGUGUUUGCGAUCAUUGUCCUGCUGAAAGACCCAGCCACAUUUCAUCUUCUGUGCCCCUGCUGAUGGAAGGAGGUUUUCACUCAAAAUCUCACGAUACAUGGCUCCAUUCAUUCUUUCCUUUAUACGAAUCAAUCGGUUUUUUUUUACUAUGUAAUGCAUGCCUUUAUUCCUUUUUUAUGAAGUUUGUAUAUAUUCUUAAUGUGGAUGUCUGAUUUUAAUGUUAUUCCUUAACUUUUCCUACCAUGUGAUAUGUGCCUGGCUGGCUCCUCCCACAACAUAAUGGAAUUGGUGCCUUUUUUUUGUACCUAUUUAAACCUGUCUGUACCUACUGUAUGCAUACUGAUCUGAAGAAGGGGAUGGCUCCCC